CACUGGCCUUGCAAAAGACUAUGAAAGUGAAGUAGUCCAGCCAGGCAUAUCAAAUUCGACUAGUUAUGGAUGGCUUUUAAAACUACUGUACCUUAGUAGUGUUGUUUUUUGUUGUUUUUUUUUUCAAUUUAUAGCACUUAAUAAAUUAAACACAAAUUUCCCAUUUUCCCUCAAUCAUGAACUGUAACUUCAUCAUUUGGUCAUCAUAUCUCGUUUAGGUAGAGAAAGACCAUCUGAAGUGGUUCCUACUAAAUUUAUGUAAUUCGCAUUAGGUUUGCGCACCAAGAUAUAGUGAAAUAGAAGAAUCGAAGUAUUAUAUGGUAGGAAAAUGUACUGUGGUGUAUGAUGACAUUGAAAGAGCUCGACUGUAUCCAUGUACUAAACUGGAGGCAGACCACGUGUUGACAAGUAAGUCCAGUUUGUUUUAGGGUAAAAUGACCAUGGCAGUCAACAUGGCAUAUGUGCCUCCGCCCAGAAACGGCAGUGCGGACAUAGCUCUAACUUCCGAAAAGCAAAAACUUCAG